rnacentral:lncRNA from 13 species
CUAUUUUUGGCACUAGAACUACAAAGAUAAAUAAGACACCUUUUCUGCCCUUAGAAAGUUCACAAUGGGGAGUGGUGAACGUGGACAAGUAGGUCAUUACAUUACAACACAAAAGCACAAUGGUGGGUGUGUUCAUUUCCUAGGGCUACUGUCACAAAGUACCACAUGCUGGUGGUUUCACAAUGGAAAUGUAUUGUCUUCCAUUUCUGGAGGCCAGAAGUUCCUUCUGAGAGCUGCCACAGGAGGCUCUGUUCCAUGUACCACCACCACCCCACCACAACUUCUGGAGGCUGAGGAAUGGAUUGGGAGACAACAAAAAUGAGGCCAUUGCAAUCAUCCAGGUUUUAGCAGAAGAGGAAGGAAAAACACAAAGGAGCACCUGGUGGGGUGUGGCCAGCAAGGAGGUGUGGGGAGCACAGUGAAUACGCCCAGAAGAGGAAGGCCAAGGGCACAGGGCUGGCUGUAUAUGGACAUUUUGCAUCUCAUCUCAUUUUGCAUCUUGCAACACAGGGCCACUGAGGAAGGCCGAGG